AGACUCUGGACUAGGAGAUUGAAGAUCACCAGUUCUGAGGAAACAUUAUAGCAUGUCGCCUGUACUCGGGUAUUGGAAGCUUCGGGGGCUGUGUGAGCCCAUCCGUUACAUGCUGGCAUACACUGGAACAGACUAUGAAGACAAACUAUACGUUCCUGGCGACCCCCCCGAAUGGGGUCGUGGAGAAUGGGAGAUGGAGCGUAUGUCUUUAGCUCUAGAUUUUCCUAAUAUUCCUUACUACAUCGAUGGUGACCUCAAGUUGACCCAGAGUGUGGCCAUUAUGAGGUAUCUAGCUCGUAAAAAUGAUCUUGACGCCAAGUCCGAAGAGGAACGGAUCCGCAUGGAUUUAGUGGAACAACAGCUGUGUGACAUGAGAUUUGGAUUGAUUAGGGUAGCUUACGUUCCGCCGGAAGUUUACGGAAACAUGCGGAAAAACUACCUGGGUCGUCUACCUGAACUGUUAAGACUGUUGUCCGAAUUCCUCGGUUCUGGACAAUGGCUAGUUGGAGACAGAGUGACCUACGUCGACUUCAUGUGCUACGAAGUACUGGACCACCACCGCCUGUUUGAUCCGCACUGUCUAGAGGACUUCUCUAAUCUCCAGCAGUUCACGACUCGAUUCGAAGAAUUACCGGCCAUAAAGAAAUACAUGGAGUCCGACAGGUUCAGAUGGUAUCCCUUGUAUGCUCCGUUCGCUUCAUUCGGAGGAACAUUCAGCCCGAACAAACCCGAGAAGGCCCGAGAGAUGUUUCCGAAUUCAUACAUAGACAUGGGGUAUUCUUUUCCUUGGAAGGAUAUGUAAAAACAAGCGACAUCGGACUUGUCAUCUAAUACUUACCGAUAAGACAGUAACGUAGUAUCUAUAGUGUUCUACUUCUAGUUAAGCCUAAUAACUAAAUUCUAUUAUGUCAAAGGUUUCCUUUACAGAUUUUUAUAAUCACUAAAAACCCGACUGUUCUAUCGAUACUUACUGUACAAACUUUAAACUAUUAAAAAUUCGGCUCUCUGAUGUAUUCAUUUAUGUAAAAUAAUAAAAUGUUGAACUAUGA